AGUGAACGCUGGCGGUAGGCCUAACACAUGCAAGUCGAACGGCAGCACAGUAAGAGCUUGCUCUUACGGGUGGCGAGUGGCGGACGGGUGAGGAAUACAUCGGAAUCUACUUUUUCGUGGGGGAUAACGUAGGGAAACUUACGCUAAUACCGCAUACGACCUACGGGUGAAAGCAGGGGAUCUUCGGACCUUGCGCGAUUGAAUGAGCCGAUGUCGGAUUAGCUAGUUGGCGGGGUAAAGGCCCACCAAGGCAACGAUCCGUAGCUGGUCUGAGAGGAUGAUCAGAGAAAUUGGAACUGAGACACGGUCCAGACUCCGACGGACAGCAGCAAGGGGGAAUAUGGGACAAUGUGCGAAAUCCUGAUCCAGUCAUGACGCAAAAGAGAAGAAGGACUUCAGGUCGUGAAGCACUGGAGGUUAGGAAAAAAAGCAGCAAGUGAAAACCGCGCGAUACUAACGGGGCCAAAAGAAUAAGAACCGGCGAACGUCGUG
rnacentral:rRNA from 1 species